GGAAUUGUACAUUAUCAUGAUAGGAAAAGAAUAAUUCAAGAACAAUUGGUGUAAUUGCUUGCUUAUACCGUUGAUGUGUUUUUUAUUAUAGUUUGGUGUGUUCCCUCCUUUUUGGAAGAAUCGUUGUGUUUAAAUUUCCAUUAUUAAUAAACUUGAGGUGUAUGAUUUCUGAAAUAUUGUAUAUGCCCAUGAUUCAUGAUUCCUCUCAUGUGUACUUGACAUCUUAAAUCGAAUGGCUUAUUGUGCAAAUUGAUAUUGAUGUGAAAUAUGUGGAAUGGAUGUGAAAUGUGGGAAAGAAGAGAUCGAGUUUUGAAAUGUGGCCUAGUAUUAAGCGUGAUCUAAUAAUUGUGGCCCCAAGUGCCUAUGAUUUUAUAUAUCUUAAAUAAAGAUUUAAAUGAGAUGAUUAAUGAAAAAGAAAAAUCUUCUUGGUAAGACGGACUAGUCGAUUGGGCCGUGAUGCGGGAUGGUGGUAUUAUGCUGAUAUUGAAUUUCGAAAAUUGAGAAUGAGAUUGUGAUUGUGGUACAUGUCUCAAAGGAGGCAACCUAGCUGAUCGGGUUAUGAUCGGAUUCCGCUCAAGAAAGUAGUGGUAUUAUGAAUGAUGAUGAACAAUAUAAAGUGUCCCAACCUAAAUCUAUGGAAAUUAUGUAAAACUUAUAUGAUUCUUCGAUUUAAUGAUGUGGUGAUUGUUAUAGCUUUUGAUUGACCUUUAUUAUAUCCUUAUUCUUGUUUGAUAGUUCUUUUAGAAGGUGUUUACGAUUUCUUUAUUCUUGUUUGAUAGUUCUUUCUAAUGAGAAGAUGUUUAUGAUUUAUUUGUUCUUGUAUGAUGUUCUUUCAAGCUAGAUGGUGUUUAGUUAUACAUAUUAGUGCUAUUUGAUGGCACAAACGUCCCUCUUGCCGAGGGUGCUACGUCUUUUAAAGGAUGUAGGUGUUUCUAUAGGAGGCAGUGUUGGUCGCAGCUAGUGCCGCAUCAUCCUUUCAGCUGAUUUGGUGAGCCCCACAUCGUUUUAGGGACCUGUUUCAUCUACUUAUCUUAUACAUUGUGUUUGAGGUAUAGCCGGAGCCUUGUUAUCGGCAUGUACAUAUUACAUUACUUUUCAGUUGUACUUACAUGCUGCGUACAUUGGUUGUGGGUAGUGUCAGGUGUUGGAAUUAAAGUAGAAAUAUUAAUGUUAGGC
rnacentral:lncRNA from 1 species